rnacentral:rRNA from 1 species
GGGCUCGCAGGCGGUUUCUUAAGUCUGAUGUGAAAGCCCCCGGCUCACCCGGGGAGGGUCAUUGGAAACUGGGAAACUUGAGUGCAGAAGAGGAGAGUGGAAUUCCACGUGUAGCGGUGAAAUGCGUAGAGAUGUGGAGGAACACCAGUGGCGAAGGCGACUCUCUGGUCUGUAACUGACGCUGAGGAGCGAAAGCGUGGGGAGCGAACAGGAUUAGAUACCCUGGUAGUCCACGCCGUAAACGAUGAGUGCUAAGUGUUAGGGGGUUUCCGCCCCUUAGUGCUGCAGCUAACGCAUUAAGCACUCCGCCUGGGGAGUACGGUCGCAAGACUGAAACUCAAAGGAAUUGACGGGGGCCCGCACAAGCGGUGGAGCAUGUGGUUUAAUUCGAAGCAACGCGAAGAACCUUACCAGGUCUUGACAUCCUCUGACAACCCUAGAGAUAGGGCUUUCCCUUCGGGGACAGAGUGACAGGUGGUGCAUGGUUGUCGUCAGCUCGUGUCGUGAGAUGUUGGGUUAAGUCCCGCAACGAGCGCAACCCUUGAUCUUAGUUGCCAGCAUUUAGUUGGGCACUCUAAGGUGACUGCCGGUGACAAACCGGAGGAAGGUGGGGAUGACGUCAAAUCAUCAUGCCCCUUAUGACCUGGGCUACACACGUGCUACAAUGGACAGAACAAAGGGCUGCGAGACCGCAGGGUUUAGCCAAUCCCAUAAAUCUGUUCUCAGUUCGGAUCGCAGUCUGCAACUCGACUGCGUGAA